AUGAUAUGUAACAGGACUGGUGGUUAGUAGACUGGCAACGUUGAGUGCCGGAGGGAUGGAGCAGGACUAAGCGUGGCACAAAUGGUCUGAACACUUAUGUAAAUAAGGCCAGCAGAGGCGGAAGUAUUAUGACCUGAUGAGUGGCUUCUACACGGCCCAGACUGUGCCCGCAGGAAUGCCCUGACCGAGUGGUUUCAACCCCCAGCUCUCACAACCUGACAAGUUUCUGUGCAGUCUUCAGAUAUCUGGCAAAGGCUUUCCUCUGAGAUAUAGCUGGCUUGGCUGCCAGGAUACUGGCACAUCCCCGGGAGCAUCACCCCCUGCUCUGUGGACAUGAGCUUCAUUGAGCAGCCUCUAGACAUGCCCCCUCCUUACACCUCAGCUUCCUCCCUAGUAGGAGGAACCGCCUACACCCAUCGCUCCGGGACUCUAUUCUCACAACACUCGGGGCUACGCUGUUGCAAGACAGACAACUCUACCCAACAAAUCACGAGGCAGGCAAUGCCAGAACGUUACAAUUCGAAACCAAUGUUUGAAGGCAUAACCUUUGCAGUGGUUUUAGUGAAGGUAGUUGAUACAAACUAGCCACUUGCUAAAUGUACUCAUUAAAGGGCGACUGCACUUCCUGAUUUGGUCUCAUUUUUAUCAAUGCUCAUUAACCUCCCUGGGCGAGUGUCCCACCCUAGUCAACAGCCAGUGGAAUCGCGUGGCGCGAAAUACAAAUGCUAUAACUUCAAUUUCUCAAACAUGACUAUUUUACACCAUUUUAAAGACAAGACUCUCAUUAACCUGUUGGGGGUAGGGGGCAGUAUUUACACGGCCGGAUAAAAAACGUACCCGAUUUAAUCUGGUUAUUACUACUGCCCAGAAACUAGAAUAUGCAUAUAAUUAUUGGCUUUGGAUAGAAAACACCCUAAAGUUUCUAAAACUGUUUGAAUGGUAUCUGUGAGUAUAACAGAACUCAUAUGGCAG
rnacentral:lncRNA from 1 species